rnacentral:misc_RNA from 1 species
GAUGAAGAACGUAGCGAAAUGCGAUAAGUAAUGCGAAUUGCAGAAUUCAGUGAGUCAUCGAAUCUUUGAACGCACAUUGCGCCCUGUGGUAUUCCGCAGGGCAUGCCUGUUCGAGCGCCAUUUCAACCCUCAAGCUCUGCUUGGUGUUGGGCCCCGCCCGCUCGCGGCCGGCCCUAAAGACAGUGGCGGCAGCGCCUGGCUCCAAGCGUAGUACAGCUCUCGCUCUGGGGCUAGGCGGUAGCCUGCCAGAACCCCCCUUCUAUGGUUGACCUCGGAUCAGGUAGGGAUACCCGCUGAACUUAAGCAUAUCAAUAAGCGGAGGA